CAGCAGCCACGGUAAUACGUAGGUGGCAAGCGUUGUCCGGAAUUAUUGGGCGUAAAGGGCUCGCAGGCGGUUUCUUAAGUCUGAUGUGAAAGCCCCCGGCUCAACCGGGGAGGGUCAUUGGAAACUGGGAAACUUGAGUGCAGAAGAGGAGAGUGGAAUUCCACGUGUAGCGGUGAAAUGCGUAGAGAUGUGGAGGAACACCAGUGGCGAAGGCGACUCUCUGGUCUGUAACUGACGCUGAGGAGCGGAAGCGUGGGGAGCGAACAGGAUUAGAUACCCGUGUAGUCCCUGUCUCUUAUAC
rnacentral:rRNA from 1 species